GGGCAGCAUCUCAAACCCUUCCAGGCAUCCGACCUUCUCAAGGCAAGCUCAGGCACACAGAGGGGCAAGGCGUUUUGUAGCAAGCCUAGGCCUCUGAUCUGGAUUUUUUUUUUUUUUCUCUUUUUGUUGAGAGUUGAUUAUCUACUGCAGUUUUUUUUUUCCUUUUCUUUCUUAUUCAUUUCGUCUUGCUCCUUUGCUUCUACCCGAUCUGGCAUAGUCUUUUUCUUUUUUCUGUUGUGCCUUUUUUUAUUCCCUGCUGCUGUUUUUUUUCUUUUUUCCUGUGAUGUUACUGUUUUUUUUUUUUUUUUUUUUCUCUUUUUCUGUCAUUUCUUUCCCGUAAGCUUUGGUGUCUUUCACAAAUUAUACAAAUCAUCUAUUGCUCCAUCCUACUCACAUUUUUUUUUUUUAAUUCUCCCAAUACAGACCUAAUAGGUGCCAUCCACAUAUGGGCAUGGCUUGGAUACCUGUGAUAAAACAAUAAUUAUACAGUUAAUCAAAAUUUUGUUAAUAAAGUGGGAUGCAUGGGCAGUCUCAAAAGAAAAUAAAUAUAAGCAAACCCACUAUAAAAUUAGCAGUUGCAAUAGCAUAACGGCAGUAGAAUAGAUAUAAGAAAACCCACUGUUAAUGAUGGGUUUAAUUGAUGAAAUUCACAAAAUUGGAGUGCUUAAUUGAGCCUGAUUAUAAUUCAGGUCUGAAACUCACUCCCCCUUGUAGUUUUGGUGGCUAAAUUAUACUUUUGGCCUUUUUUUUUAAUCUUCAGUGGCUCAUUUGUUAUUGCAUUUGGCUUUAAUGAUUCUCAGAACUUAAAGAUACUGUUAGAGCAAUUAGGUAAUUGACAUUAAAGGCUCAAAAAAUACUUGGAAGAUGUUCUGCUUUGCAAACAAGCAAUCCCCUUCUGGUGCCUCUAUGGUGGUGUUGGAUUGGAUGAAUUGCUCAGGCCAAGAAUCGCCAUGCAAAUGAUCAAGAAUGCUGGCCUCUUAAAUCUGCCAGAAUCAUUCUUGAUUUGCUUAAGCAGGGUGAAAGGCCUGGAUAUGGAUGGAUGAAACAAACACAAGAGCAUAGGUACUGAACCUGUGCUUGACAGAAUUAAUCAGCUAGUUCAAAUUUUCUUUUGCUUCAAUUCUCACGAUUGGGACUUAGCUGGCUUCCAGAAAGCACAAGAAUACACGAGCUCUAUGUGUGUGCCUGAGAUGCAGCAGUAGGAGUUCUUACCAUUGAUUUCUUUGGACAACCCCCAUUCUGGAAAGAUGUCUUUCUGGAUGUUAUCAAUUGUAUGUUGCUCCUCAGAUUUUGGAGUGUAGAAAAACUUUCAAAUGGAUUUUUGUAGGAAAAAAGGUGACUGGAUGUUUAAUACUUUCCAACUAUACGUGUUUUCACAAACUCUCACAGAUUAAUCUUAUGUUGAGUUGUAGAGAUAUAGAACGCAUACCAUGUUUAUAUCGAGUUGGUGUCUUAGGCUGAGCUAUCUAGGUACAUGGUUGUUGUAGAGGUUGGAAUGACAUUUUCGUUGUCAUCUUAGCUAAUUUUUUACAUAUCUUAAAUAUGC